rnacentral:tRNA from 1 species
AGUGGCUCAGCUGGUAGAGUGCAUGCUUUACAAGUAUGAGGCCCUGGAUUCAAUUCCUGACACUG